ACAAAUAUAUCUUUUUUGAUCAAUCCUAAGUUUUAAAAAGAAAGCAUACAUCAUACCCCAAAUAUUGCGUUCCACAUGUUAGAUUUAUUUUAUUUUUUAAUCUUUAUUUUUAUUUAAUUUUUUUAUUUUAUUAACAUAAGAUCUCUUUUUUUCUUUUCUUCUUCUCCAAGCAUUCAUGUCAAUCUUUUUCUCCUCUUCACCGAUAAUUUUUUGAUGUGGCAACCAUUACUACAAUAUCUACCCUAUUGUGUCUAUCACUAAAUCACCGAUAAUUCAAAAUUAAAAUUAAAAAAUUAAUAUAUCAAAUUAAAAAUUACUAUCAAAAUUGUCUUCAUGUGAAUCCUACCUUUGAUUUUUGCUCUAAAUCAGGUGGAUUAUGAUUGAAUAUCUUUCUACUUUAUGUAAAAAAAAAUUAUUUUUUUAUUGACUCUAUAUUUAACUAGCCUACUAAAUUUCUCCUUAUUUGUAUCAAUUGAUUUCAACAUGUGUACAACUUGUUAGGUGAGGACAAAAUUUCAAAAAAAUCAAAUGAAGAUUUAUAUAGAGUUGGGAUGAAACUCUCAAAAAGGUAGAUGCUUUCAUCGUUUUGAAUUCUAAAAUUCAAUUUAAUGACUUUUGAAGAAUUGUCUAAAAUUUUAUUAGAUAAGAUUUUACAAUCAAAGAAACAAAUCAAAGUGAUAUCAAUAAAAUUUUAUUAGAUAAGAUUUUAUUACGUCUUGAGGGGUAACCAAUUUCGCCAGCGAACCCGCAUUUUUUCGGUGGAGGCCAUGGGGAAUUACAAAAGGUGCACGUUAGCAGCCUUGCUAAUGUGCGCCGAGAUGUACAUGUACAGAGUAUGCCCACCCAGCAAGGACCUGUGGAUGGUAGGACUACCUUGGAAGGAGUUGCUAGUACCUCUAGGGGUGAAAAUAAGUUCUCAAAUUUAGAGAUUAUGGGUGACCAUGAGGGUGAUCCAAGUGCUCUUGGCAAGCAACAUUACAUGAUCUUUGCAACUUAGAACUUAAAGGGCUUGAACAAACCCCUCGGGCAAAAAGAUUUAAAGCUCUUUCUAAUUAAGCAUAAGAUAGAUGUAAUGGGAUGUUUAAAGACAAAGGUGAAGCAGCACAAAAGUCCCAACAUACUGGCAAAGGUUGCACAAGGAUGGUAUGCUAGUUGUAAUUGCUCAGAGGCUCCAAAUGGUCAAAUUUGGCUACUUUAGAGAUCACAUGUGAAGGUACAGACUGCUUUGGUGGGAAUGAGUGCUACCAUUCAAGAACCUUGGAUCCUGAGUGGAGACUUCAAUGCUAUCUUGAGUCCUGAUGACUGGUUGGGCUCCCCUGUUACAACUACUAAACACAGGACUUUAGACACUUCAUGGGUGUUUUGUAACUCACGUCUUUAAGAUCUAGGGGUUGCUAUUAUUCCUUUUUCAGUAAAUAAGAGCAAAAUCACAGAAUCUAUUCAAGAAUUGACUGGGCUAUGGGUAAUUAUCACAAGUUACAAAGCUAUGGAGCAGUGGAGGCUGACUAUUUGGAAUUUUUAACCAUUCCUAUAUCCUGCUACAAUGUAAUCGUACAUUGAGUAAUAGGCCAAAGCCUUUUAAAUUAUUCUCCACAGUCAUGCAACAUCACCAGUUUCUUGAUAUUGUUGCAAGCACCUGGACACAUAGCUUUAUUGGAACCAGAAUAUACUAGCUAGCUCAGAAGAUGAAAGCUCUAAGAACUAAUCUAAAGAGCCUUAACUCUAACCUGGAUUUCUAUGAAAUUCAUCUGCAUACUACCUAGCAGCAGCUUGCAGUUGUUCGAGAUAAACUGGUCAUUAAUCUGUUGAAUAAGACUUUGAUAGAGGAGGAAAAACUACCUAUUCAGAAACUGCACCAAUGGAGUCUAUUGGAAGAGUAAACACUAAGACAAAAAUCUAGGGCCAGAUGGAUUACCUGUGGAGACUCUUAACUCUAAAUUAUUUCAUGCACAAUGCAGGAUUAGAGAAAGUAGGAAUGUUAUUACUUCUAUCUAUACUGAUCAAAGACUGAAGGUUAUAGAUCCAGCAUUAGUGGAACAAGGAUUUGUUUCCUUUUUAACCAACUUCUUAGGAACUGCAGCUGCUAAGGUUCCUCUGCCAAACUCGAAAGUCAUUAAAAGUGGUCCUUUUUAAUCUGCUCCACAAAAGAUGGCGCUCGUACAACAGGUUACAGAGGAAGAAAUAUGAUUUCUAUAAAGGUCAUGGCCAUUAAUAAAUCACCAAGAGUGGAUGGUAUCCCUAUUAAGUUCUACACCAAUCAAUGGAACAGAGUGAAGCCAGAUGUGUUGCUAGCUUUAAAAGAAUUCUUCCACUCAGGUAAAAUGCUUAAAACAUUUAGCUGCACUACAGUGACUCUUGUGAAAAAUGUACCUGCUCCCACAGUAGUCAAAGACUAUAGGCCUAUAGCAUGUUGUAAUACUUUUUAUAACAUCAUCAUAAAGGUGUAACAAACAGGAUGAAAGGAGUAAUGAACAUUAUUAUCAGUCCCCUCUUAGUUGGCUUUUAUAAAGGGCAGAUCUAUCAUUGAUAAUUUGUUAUUUAGUCAUUAAUUAUUGAAGUGGUAUACUAGGAAAAUUUGUGUAACACACCACAUUUUUGAGCUAGAGAUCGAAUUGUUGUUCCU